rnacentral:piRNA from 1 species
UGGAAGGGAACGCAAACGCAAAGACAAAGGU